rnacentral:rRNA from 1 species
UACGAAGGGGGCUAGCGUUGUUGAGAAUCUGGGCGUAAAGGGCGCGUAGGCGGCCCGCUAAGUCGAACGUGAAAUCCCCGAGCUCAACUCGGGAACUGCGUCCGAUACUGGCGGGCUUGAAUCCGGGAGAGGGAUGCGGAAUUCCAGGUGUAGCGGUGAAAUGCGUAGAUAUCUGGAGGAACACCGGUGGCGAAGGCGGCAUCCUGGACCGGCAUUGACGCUGAGGCGCGAAAGCUAGGGGAGCAAACGGGG